UACAGAGGUGGCAAGCGUUGUUCGGAAUUACUGGGCGUAAAGCGUGCGCAGGCGGUCUUUUAAGUCAGAUGUGAAAUCCCCGGGCUUAACCUGGGAACUGCGUUUGAAACUGGAAGGCUAGAGUGUGGCAGAGGGGGGUGGAAUUCCGACGUGUAGCAGUGAAAUGCGUAGAGAUGUGGAGGAACACCGAUGGCGAAGGCAGCCCCCUGGGCUAACACUGACGCUCAUGCACGAAAGCGUGGGGAGCAAACAGG
rnacentral:rRNA from 1 species